rnacentral:lncRNA from 1 species
CUAAAAUCCACCUUAGGUAAGGGUGUCACCGGAAGAACAUUAGGAAGGCCCCUAUCCUGGAGUGUGGUCAGUGAUCUAGAGCUCUUCCAUGUAUGAGGCCUAGACAGAGCAUAGCAUUCUUAUUUCUGCUUCACAGUUGCCCAGAGGAGUAGACACAGUUAUCCCCAUUUUUUAGAGAUGACUGAGAACCAGCAAGGUGGUCGAGUAGCAUAUAUCCCUGAUGUUUCUUUCCCAUUUGCUAGAUUAGAAAAAUAUUGAAGUCUCUCUGCAUUUCCUAGGAUUGGACAUGGGUGCCUCAGGUUCCCCUGGGGUGGGACAGUCAUGGAGCACAGUGUUAUCUAUAACUGUGUUCAGGGGUCUGUAUAAUUUUGGAGAUUGGAAUAAGGGAGUCCAUCCACGUGUACAUACAAAUACACACAUACCUAUCCAUUUGCUUCACCUUGCCUUUUUCAGUAAAGUUGGUAUUCUUGAGUUCCUGACUCUAGUACCUAUUUAAAAAUUGACCCUGAAAGGAAAUGGGUGUGCAUGUACUAAGCUCCACCAAGUACCAGUCAGGGCCUAAACAUCGGUCUGAUGACAAUUUCCAGUCUCUUUCUACUAUAUUCCUCUCUAGAACCUACUGGAAGAAGGCAGUGAGGAAGUGUAAGAAGAUCUGGUUCAUAGGGUAGAACUGGGUAGUCCAUGACUAGAUCAUGUCCCAAGGUCCCCCAGACAGAGGCCCAGAGAGAGGUUUUCCUUUCUUCUGGAAUUCAGCAUUAGCUUCCUCUUCAGGUGUCAGCAUGUGCCUUGAAUCCAGGGCCACUCAGGGCCAAUGAGCCUGCAUGUGGAUUGGACAGCCAUGUUAGUGAGAAUGACCAAGGACCAAGCCAACUGCAUGACUUAGGGACUGCUCAGGUCAGGUCAGCAACUACCCUGUGCGGGGUGCAGGGACACAGUGACAAAAGAAAACAGAGACCUUGCUCUUGUGGAAAUAGGUCGUGAGAUAAGCUGAUCCUUCAGUAUGAUGUGGGAGUUGGUAAGUGGGACAGGUGCAUCACCUAUAGAGGAAAGGUGCUUGAAGGUCAAACCUGCAGCCAGGAAACCUCUGGGGAGAGAGGACACCUGAGCUGAAUUGUUAGGGACCUGCCAUUUGUAGAAGGGUAAGAUGAGCAUUGGAGGCAGAGUGGACACAUGAGCAAAGGCCCUGGCCUUGAACACUGUACACCUUGAACCACGCUGUAGAGAGCUGAUGAGGUACGGCAGUGAUGGGGACCCUCUAGGAGCGUCAGCCUGAAUUUUUCAUGUAUUGACUGUUCUGUGGAGAAGAGAUCAAAAAGAAAGGGUCAGGAUAGUAGUCUGGAGGUUCCUGCCAAAGCCUUGGGGGUGUCCGGCUGGAGAGAGAGAACAGGUGGAGGAUCGUUUCCUGGGCAGGAUUCCUCAGAGCUGGAGGUGGAGGGGCUGGAAGAGAGCUCUGGUCGGGAAGCGUCAUGGAGAAUGGGCCUUUACCUGAUAUUGGAGCACAGAGUGAGCCAAGGAGCCUGGGACCAAAAGGAGGCACAGAAGAGGGAGGCAAGAGGGAGACUAAGAGAAAGCAGAGAGUGAUCUUGUCCAGGACUCAGGAGAACAGAGUCCAUAGACAUUAGUAGUCCUGGGGGUCAAGUGUGGUCAAGAAAUUGGGAUACCAGAAAAUUGAGAAAUACCCAUCAGUUUUGAAAAUCAGUGAUGCCCUUUGUCAAAGAAAUUUCAGUUAAGUGAUGGGGUGGAAGUCAGAUUUCAGAGGGUUCAGGAACAAAGAGAUGAGGAAACACGGAGGGUGCAUGUAUAAUAUUAUCUUUCCAGAAACCUGACUGAGAAGGAAAUGGGGCUAUAGCUACAGGCAGACAGAAGGUCAACAGGUAUCUAGGACAGGAAGCACAUGUGCAUAGUUUGAGGCUUAAAAGAAAGAGUGAAGAAGUGAAGAUUAAGAGAGAAAGGGGUAAUUACAAGACCCUCCACUUGGAAAGCUGUGUGGGUGAUGGAGUGGCCCUUGGACUGGAGGCAGACUACAUCACCAGCUGGCUGCCUGAGGAUGGAGGGAAGGAGUCAGGCAGGUGAUCAGCCUGUUGAUGUGGUUUUCAGAAAAUUGAUGAGAUUUCACACCUCAUGACUUUAGCUUUUUCGACAAAAUAGGACAAGGCUCUGGCCAAGGGCUAUGACUACAGAGUUUGGGAAGGGAAUGUGAGUAGAGAAAUUGAAUUUUGGAAGAGUUGCCCAGUGGUAAGUGGUAAGAGGCUAAGAAACGAUAAACAAAAGGACUUUUGGAAAGUGCUGAGUGUCCUUUGAGAUAGGAGAGCAGGAAUUUGGAAUGGAUCCAAUAUAUCUGUUGUGUGAUUUGCUCCAGAGACAUGACAGCAUGGUGACAGGACAGUGGCAGGAGAAAGACAAGGCUUAUGAGAAACAGUGUGUUGAUCCUGGGACCCCUGCUGGGUCAAGAAGUUAGACAAGGAAGGCGCUGCUAGGUUGAGGGAGGCUGGGGACUAAGCCACUAGCAGAUGUGCUUCAGAGCAGGCUUAAGGAGGACGCUGAGAGAAUGGGAAAUGGUGUGUAUGUUAAAGUUAGAGAUUUCGGAGGGAAAAUCUCGCUGUGUAUUGACAAGGUCUGGGGUGUGGUGGUGCAACUCGGUAGCAAAAAUGAGAGAAGAAGAUCAAGACUCUGAGUAUGUGGCUGUGUGUGUGCUGACUACGAGGACCCUCCAGGAACCCAAGAACUGACAGCAGGACAUGGUACAGAGAGGAUGGCUGUAGUCAUUGUGCUAAAGUCCUCUGGGAACGUGGGCAUGACUGGGAUGUCAACAGUAGACUGUGACAAGCCACCAAGGAGCUAUGGAAAUGGGAGAGUCUAUCAGGACUGCCUUCCAGUUAAGGGCAUGGAUUUUGGAGCUUAACAAACAUGAACUCAAAUCCCAGUUCUGCUACUUACAAGUUGUGAGACCCAAGAUUCACAAAGGAAAAGUUACAAAGCCUUGUAGUCCUAAGUUUUCUUGUCCACAAAUUCAGGAUAAUAAUGUGUACUCUUAGAGUUCUCGUGAGGAUAGGACCCAGUGUGCCAUGUAGGUAGCACAGUCCUGACCUAUGGUCAGCUCUGCUCCGUCCAGGGGUGUCCUUAGCUCUUCGUCUAUUCAAAGUUCUACUCUUCUUCUGUCAGAUGGAAAAUGAACUCCUCUCUCCAGGGAACUCCCAAGGAAGUUUCUUGGAUUGACUCCUAAAACUGCUAUUCCUCCUCAUUAUUGUAGUUUCUGGACAUGUCUUUAAGCCCUGCUGGAUUGAUAAGUUUAUCAGGAGAGAAAUAAUAGCUAAUAAUAAUUUUAUCUAUAUCAAACAAAUGACCAAUAAAUAUUUGUUCCCACUCUUUCUCAAAAGUAUCCUGUAAAUAAAAUUUAAAUUGCAUUAGGAAGCCUUAUAAUUCAACAAAAAACAGAAGAAAUUUUUAAAUUCCUGGCAGAAUUCUUGGGGCCAGAUAUUCUAAAUAAAGUCUAAGGGCUUGAGAUCAUACGUAACAAAUUCUAGCACUUGGUAGUUCUUCCAGGAUCAAAAGAUCUUGUGUGAAUAAAGGUCAAGUCAUAGAUAGCCUUAACUGACUAUAAAAAUAUGUUCUAAAAUAAGUCAGCACGUUACAAUUAAACUCAUAUGUCUUGGUCUAAGCCAGUGCUUUAAUUUGUUUUUCAUUGUUACCUAAGCCAUGUAGAAAUCUCAGUUGUUUUCAGUCAAAAAAGUUGUUGUAGAGUUUUAUUCUCUUAAAAGAAUAUGCAAGGGUGCCCCGAAACACAAGUCAGACCUUUAACAAAAU